rnacentral:rRNA from 1 species
CCUACGGGAGGCAGCAGUGGGGGAUAUUGCACAAUGCGCGUAACCCUGAUGCAGCGACGCCGCGUGAGUGACGAAGUAUUUCGGUAUGUAAAGCUCUAUCAGCAGGGAAGAAAAUGCCAGUAACUGACCAAGAAGCCACGGCUAACUACGUGCCAGCAGCCGCGGUAAUACGUAGGGGGCAAGCGUUAUGCGGUUUUACUGGGUGUAACGGGAGCGUAGACGGCUAUGUAAGUCUGGAGUGAAAGCCCGGGGCUCAACCCCGGUACUGCUAGGGAAACUGUGUAACUGGAGUACAGGAGGGGCAGGCAGAAUUCCUGGUGUAGCGGUGAAAUGCGUAGAUAUCAGGAGGAACACCGGCGGCGAAGGCGGCCUGCUGGACUGAAACUGACGUUGAGGCUCGAAAGCGUGGGGAGCAAACAGGAUUAGAUACCCUGGUAGUC